GCUAAACGCGAAGAACCUUACCAGGCCUUGACAUGCAGAGAACUUUCCAGAGAUGGAUUGGUGCCUUCGGGAACUCUGACACAGGUGCUGCAUGGCUGUCGUCAGCUCGUGUCGUGAGAUGUUGGGUUAAGUCCCGCAACGAGCGCAACCCUUGUCCUUAGUUGCCAUCAUUAAGUUGGGAACUCUAAGGAGACCGCCGGUGACAAACCGGAGGAAGGUGGGGAUGACGUCAAGUCAUCAUGGCCUUUAUGGCCAGGGCUACACACGUGCUACAAUGGCAGGUACAGAGGGAAGCCAACCAGCAAUGGGGAGCCAAUCCCAGAAAGCCUGUCUUAGUCCGGAUUGCAGUCUGCAACUCGACUGCAUGAAGUUGGAAUCGCUAGUAAUCGCAGAUCAGCAUUGCUGCGGUGAAUACGUUCCCGGGGUCUUAG
rnacentral:rRNA from 1 species